AGCGCAGGCGGGAAGGUAAGUCUAUCUUAAAAGUGCGGGGCUCAACCCCGUGAGGGGAUAGAAACUAUCAUUCUUGAGUGCAGGAGAGGAAAGCGGAAUUCCUAGUGUAGCGGUGAAAUGCGUAGAUAUUAGGAGGAACACCAGUGGCGAAGGCGGCUUUCUGGACUGUAACUGACGCUGAGGCUCGAAAGCCAGGGAAGCGAACG
rnacentral:rRNA from 1 species